UACGGAGGAUCCGAGCGUUAUCCGGAUUUAUUGGGUUUAAAGGGUGCUCAGGCGGGCCAUUAAGUCGGCGGUGAAAUUUUGCAGCUCAACUGUAAAAGUGCCAUUGAUACUGGUUUUCUUGAGUGUGGAUGAAGUAGGCGGAAUUUGUGGUGUAGCGGUGAAAUGCUUAGAUAUCACGAGGAACUCCGAUUGCGCAGGCAGCUUACUAAACUACUACUGACGCUCAGGCACGAAGGCGUUGGGAUCAAACAGGAUUAGAUACCCCGGUA
rnacentral:rRNA from 1 species